rnacentral:misc_RNA from 1 species
GAUGAAGAACGCAGCGAAAUGCGAUACUUGGUGUGAAUUGCAGAAUCCCGUGAACCAUCGAGUCUUUGAACGCAAGUUGCGCCCGAAGCCACUAGGCCGAGGGCACGCCUGCCUGGGCGUCACACGCCGUUGCCCCCCCAUCUACUCCUUCGGGAUUGCGGGGGGGCGGAUGAUGGCCUCCCGUGCGCCUAGCCGCGCGGUUGGCAUAAAUACCAAGUCCUCGGCGACGCACGCCACGACAAUCGGUGGUUGCGAAACCUCGGUUGCCCGUCGUGUGCGUUCGUCGCGCAUCGNNNGCUCGAAAAAAUGCUCGGCUCCGGCUGGGCUUUCAACGCGACCCCAGGUCAGGCGGGGUUACCCGCUGAAUUUAAGCAUAUCAAUAAGCGGAGGA